rnacentral:rRNA from 1 species
GACGACGCUGGCGGCGUGCUUAACACAUGCAAGUCGAACGGUGACGAGGAGCUUGCUCCUCCGAUCAGUGGCGAACGGGUGAGUAACACGUGAGUAACCUGCCCCAGACUCUGGAAUAACAGUUGGAAACAGCUGCUAAUACCGGAUACGAGACGGAGAGGCAUCUCUACCGUCUGGAAAGUUUUCGGUCUGGGAUGGACUCGCGGCCUAUCAGCUUGUUGGUGAGGUAAUGGCUCACCAAGGCGACGACGGGUAGCCGGCCUGAGAGGGCGACCGGCCACACUGGGACUGAGACACGGCCCAGACUCCUACGGGAGGCAGCAGUGGGGAAUAUUGCACAAUGGGCGAAAGCCUGAUGCAGCAACGCCGCGUGAGGGAUGACGGCCUUCGGGUUGUAAACCUCUUUCAGUAGGGAAGAAGCGAAAGUGACGGUACCUACAGAAGAAGCACCGGCUAACUACGUG